rnacentral:rRNA from 1 species
GUACACAAAAAUGCACAUGCUGUGAGCUCGAUGAGUAGGGCGGGACACGUGGUAUCCUGUCUGAAUAUGGGGGGACCAUCCUCCAAGGCUAAAUACUCCUGACUGACCGAUAGUGAACCAGUACCGUGAGGGAAAGGCGAAAAGAACCCCGGCGAGGGGAGUGAAAAAGAACCUGAAACCGUGUACGUACAAGCAGUGGGAGCACGCUUAGGCGUGUGACUGCGUACCUUUUGUAUAAUGGGUCAGCGACUUAUAUUCUGUAGCAAGGUUAACCGAAUAGGGGAGCCGAAGGGAAACCGAGUCUUAACUGGGCGUUAAGUUGCAGGGUAUAGACCCGAAACCCGGUGAUCUAGCCAUGGGCAGGUUGAAGGUUGGGUAACACUAACUGGAGGACCGAACCGACUAAUGUUGAAAAAUUAGCGGAUGACUUGUGGCUGGGGGUGAAAGGCCAAUCAAACCGGGAGAUAGCUGGUUCUCCCCGAAAGCUAUUUAGGUAGCGCCUCGUGAAUUCAUCUCCGGGGGUAGAGCACUGUUUCGGCAAGGGGGUCAUCCCGACUUACCAACCCGAUGCAAACUGCGAAUACCGGAGAAUGUUAUCACGGGAGACACACGGCGGGUGCUAACGUCCGUCGUGAAGAGGGAAACAACCCAGACCGCCAGCUAAGGUCCCAAAGUCAUGGUUAAGUGGGAAACGAUGUGGGAAGGCCCAGACAGCCAGGAUGUUGGCUUAGAAGCAGCCAUCAUUUAAAGAAAGCGUAAUAGCUCACUGGUCGAGUCGGCCUGCGCGGAAGAUGUAACGGGGCUAAACCAUGCACCGAAGCUGCGGCAGCGACACUGUGUGUUGUUGGGUAGGGGAGCGUUCUGUAAGCCUGCGAAGGUGUGCUGUGAGGCAUGCUGGAGGUAUCAGAAGUGCGAAUGCUGACAUAAGUAACGAUAAAGCGGGUGAAAAGCCCGCUCGCCGGAAGACCAAGGGUUCCUGUCCAACGUUAAUCGGGGCAGGGUGAGUCGACCCCUAAGGCGAGGCCGAAAGGCGUAGUCGAUGGGAAACAGGUUAAUAUUCCUGUACUUGGUGUUACUGCGAAGGGGGGACGGAGAAGGCUAUGUUGGCCGGGCGACGGUUGUCCCGGUUUAAGCGUGUAGGCUGGUUUUCCAGGCAAAUCCGGAAAAUCAAGGCUGAGGCGUGAUGACGAGGCACUACGGUGCUGAAGCAACAAAUGCCCUGCUUCCAGGAAAAGCCUCUAAGCAUCAGGUAACAUCAAAUCGUACCCCAAACCGACACAGGUGGUCAGGUAGAGAAUACCAAGGCGCUUGAGAGAACUCGGGUGAAGGAACUAGGCAAAAUGGUGCCGUAACUUCGGGAGAAGGCACGCUGAUAUGUAGGUGAAGUCCCUCGCGGAUGGAGCUGAAAUCAGUCGAAGAUACCAGCUGGCUGCAACUGUUUAUUAAAAACACAGCACUGUGCAAACACGAAAGUGGACGUAUACGGUGUGACGCCUGCCCGGUGCCGGAAGGUUAAUUGAUGGGGUCAGCGCAAGCGAAGCUCUUGAUCGAAGCCCCGGUAAACGGCGGCCGUAACUAUAACGGUCCUAAGGUAGCGAAAUUCCUUGUCGGGUAAGUUCCGACCUGCACGAAUGGCGUAAUGAUGGCCAGGCUGUCUCCACCCGAGACUCAGUGAAAUUGAACUCGCUGUGAAGAUGCAGUGUACCCGCGGCAAGACGGAAAGACCCCGUGAACCUUUACUAUAGCUUGACACUGAACAUUGAGCCUUGAUGUGUAGGAUAGGUGGGAGGCUUUGAAGUGUGGACGCCAGUCUGCAUGGAGCCGACCUUGAAAUACCACCCUUUAAUGUUUGAUGUUCUAACGUUGACCCGUGAUCCGGGUUGCGGACAGUGUCUGGUGGGUAGUUUGACUGGGGCGGUCUCCUCCUAAAGAGUAACGGAGGAGCACGAAGGUUGGCUAAUCCUGGUCGGACAUCAGGAGGUUAGUGCAAUGGCAUAAGCCAGCUUGACUGCGAGCGUGACGGCGCGAGCAGGUGCGAAAGCAGGUCAUAGUGAUCCGGUGGUUCUGAAUGGAAGGGCCAUCGCUCAACGGAUAAAAGGUACUCCGGGGAUAACAGGCUGAUACCGCCCAAGAGUUCAUAUCGACGGCGGUGUUUGGCACCUCGAUGUCGGCUCAUCACAUCCUGGGGCUGAAGUAGGUCCCAAGGGUAUGGCUGUUCGCCAUUUAAAGUGGUACGCGAGCUGGGUUUAGAACGUCGUGAGACAGUUCGGUCCCUAUCUGCCGUGGGCGCUGGAGAACUGAGGGGGGCUGCUCCUAGUACGAGAGGACCGGAGUGGACGCAUCACUGGUGUUCGGGUUGUCAUGCCAAUGGCACUGCCCGGUAGCUAAAUGCGGAAGAGAUAAGUGCUGAAAGCAUCUAAGCACGAAACUUGCCCCGAGAUGAGUUCUCCCUGACUCCUUGAGAGUCCUGAAGGAACGUUGAAGACGACGACGUUGAUAGGCCGGGUGUGUAAGCGCAGCGAUGCGUUGAGCUAACCGGUACUAAUGAACCGUGAGGCUUAA